rnacentral:rRNA from 1 species
ACGGGGGGUGCGAGCGUUGUUCGGAAUUAUUGGGCGUAAAGAGCGUGUAGGCGGCUGAAUAAGUCAGAUGUGAAAUCCCUGGGCUUAACCCAGGACGUGCAGUUGAAACUAUUCGGCUAGAGUAUGGGAGAGGAAAGUGGAAUUCCUGGUGUAGAGGUGAAAUGCGUAGAUAUGAGGAGGAACACCGGUGGCGAAGGCGGCUUACUGGACCUACACUGACGCUGAGGCGCGAGAGCGUGGGUAGCAAACAG